GGGCCUAUCAGGUAGUAGUGGGUGUAGCGUACCUACUAGCCUACGACGGGUACGGGUUGUGAGAGCAAGAGCCCGGAGAUGGAUUCUGAGACACGAAUCCAGGCCCUACGGGGUGCAGCAGGCGCGAAAACUUUACAAUGCCGGCAACGGCGAUAAGGGGACCUCGAGUGCCAGGUUACAAAUCUGGCUGUCGUGAUGCCUAAAAAGCAUUGCAUAGCAAGGGCCGGGCAAGACCGGUGCCAGCCGCCGCGGUAACACCGGCGGCUCGAGUGGUAACCGUUAUUAUUGGGUCUAAAGGGUCUGUAGCCGGCCGGAUAAGUCUCUUGAGAAAUCCAGCAGCUCAACUGUUGGGCUUUCAGGAGAUACUGUCUGGCUCGAGGCCGGGAGAGGUGAGAGGUACUUCAGGGGUAGGGGUGAAAUCUUGUAAUCCUUGAAGGACCACCAGUGGCGAAGGCGUCUCACCAGAACGGACCUGACGGCAAGGGACGAAAGCUAGGGGCACGAACCGGAUUAGAUACCCGGGUAGUCCUAGCCGUAAACGAUACUCGCUAGGUGUCGGCCACGGUGCGACCGUUGUCGGUGCCGUAGGGAAGCCGUGAAGCGAGCCACCUGGGAAGUACGGCCGCAAGGCUGAAACUUAAAGGAAUUGGCGGGGGAGCAC
rnacentral:rRNA from 1 species